GAUGAACGCUGGCGGCGUGCCUAAUACAUGCAAGUCGAGCGAACGGACGAGAAGCUUGCUUCUCUGAUGUUAGCGGCGGACGGGUGAGUAACACGUGGAUAACCUACCUAUAAGACUGGGAUAACUUCGGGAAACCGGAGCUAAUACCGGAUGAUAUUUUGAACCGCAUGGUUCAAAAGUGAAAGACGGUCUUGCUGUCACUUAUAGAUGGUUCCGCGCUGCAUUAGCUAGUUGGUAAGGUAACGGCUUACCAAGGCAACGAUGCAUAGCCGACCUGAGAGGGUGAUCGGCCACACUGGAACUGAGACACGGUCCAGACUCCUACGGGAGGCAGCAGUAGGGAAUCUUCCGCAAUGGGCGAAAGCCUGACGGAGCAACGCCGCGUGAGUGAUGAAGGUCUUCGGAUCGUAAAACUCUGUUAUUAGGGAAGAACAUAUGUGUAAGUAACUAUGCACGUCUUGACGGUACCUAAUCAGAAAGCCACGGCUAACUACGUG
rnacentral:rRNA from 1 species